AUCGCUUCUCGGCCUUUUGGCUAAGAUCAAGUGUAGUAUCUGUUCUUAUCAGUUUAACUCCAAAGCCUGUAGACCUAAUCACUGUACUGUACUGCCUCCCUCUGAACUUCCUUUUCAAGAAAUAACUAAACUGAGGGCACCUUGAUGGUACAGUCAGUUAAGCAUCUGACUGGGUUUUGGCUCAGGUCAUGAUCUCUA